rnacentral:misc_RNA from 1 species
GUACACUGGGCAGAACAGGGUUUUCCUUUCUUUUCCCCUGUUUCCGCUCCUAUCCAAAAAACGAGCUUAACUAGGUACAAGCUCGGAUAAACACCUGUCUUUUCAGUCAAUGAUCUAUGUCAAUACGGGUUACAAGUUACGCAAAUGGAUUACACUUGCUAAAUUUCAGAAUGUUGAAUGGAGUUAAUGACGAAAAUUAAUUACUUGUUAAAGUGCAACUAAUUAGCCAAUGGAGAAUAAAAAUACAUUCCAUAAUAUAGAGAGUGCCUUACAUUUUGACCAGGAAAGCUGUACUCUUACGAUUUCCUCGGCCUUCCCCUUUUACCUGUCGAUACUUUCACUUCAGGUGGGGAGCUUUUGUUUGCUGCUGGAGACCGACCCCUUCCUCGACCUGCGCCCUUUUUAGCAGCUGUAGCUUUGCCAGCAGCCUUUCCUCGACCCCUGCCGGAAGACUUGGCCCGCCCAUUCGAUUGUUCCUCAUAGUCAUCACUUUCAUCAUCACUAUUUUCCUCUUCCUCAUCUUCAGAUUCAGAUGCAUCUUUUGACUUCUUCCGUUUAUUUGACUUUGCAGGCGCCUUCGCAGAUGCCUUUUUGGUAGUCUUUUUAGAAGCUGGAGAUUCACUCACAGGUUCUGCCCCCACUUCCUCAGAAGCCUUGCCAUCAUAUACAUCAAGCUGCUCAAGUCGAUCCUCAACAUUUGUCCUAUCAAUAACAACCAUGGAGUGGGCAAAUCCACAAGCAACACUGAUAACAUGCAUGCCAUCUAAAAUGUCCACCUUCUUAGGAACUGCAGAAGAUUUCUGUCCAUGUGGUCCAUAACCCAGCUCCCCACACUGUGCAAGGCCCCAACUUAUGCAAGAGGAAUCAGCACCAACAAAGUGGUGCAUAUAGCCAGAAUCCAUACAUCGGAGGUUCCACCCACUCAAAUCCAGAAGAGGUUUGGGAUACAUCGAAUCAUCUCCUGUGCUCUUAAUUUUUCCCCACAUGUAAAGCUGCCCUCCUCCGGCAGUACAUGAUGAGCUGGCAGAACCUGCUGAAACUAUUGCAUCUGGAGGCAAGACAUUCUGCCGUGUAAAAACAUCAACUCGUCGAGGAGCAAACUCGUCCUUCUGUUCUCGAUGACCAAGCCUCCCAUAACCGCCAAAUCCCCACGUGUAAACAUAUCCACUCUUAUCCACUGCAACUGUGUGGUUUGUUCCACAAGCAACUUUGACUAUAGUCUCUCCAGAAAAGGCAGCUAUAGGUCUAGGUCUGGGUUGAGCUUCAUAAGCUAGCCUUACAGAGCUAUCUUUGGUAUUAUACUCGUUGUCAGUAGCAUGACCAAGCUGACCAUACUGAGGCAAACCAGCAGUUAAUAUAGAAGCUCCUUCAACUGAGGUUAGCCACACAGUAAAGUCAGCCCCACAAGCUACAGAGUUGACUUCAGUGACGGCACACCGGACUGGAGAUAAUUCAGUUUCAUUUUUUACAGAGCCUAUACCGAGCUGCCCAUGUUUAUUCCAACCAAAAGCAAAGGACUGUCCGUCAUCUGUAACUACCACUGUGUGGUUCUUUCCAGCUGCAGCUCUAAUAAUUUUGUACUUAGAUAGUUCUGAAACAACCGUUGGUCUAUCACGUGUUAUGUUAUCUCCAUGACCAAGCUGCCCUUUCUCAUUCCUUCCCCAUGUAUAACAACGACCUUCAGUAUCUAGCGCUACACAGUGACAAGAAGCGCAACCAGCAGCAACAAAACAAAUGUCGACACCAACAAGCGGACGAAGCCUCGUCGGCGACACCAAAUUCCCCUCCGUCAAACCUUUCCGGCGACCAACAGAAUCCCAGCAAGUACUUCCACAAAACAACAACUCCCCACCUUUCACCACCACCACUUCCGACAUCUCCGGCGAACUCAACGGUCAAAAAAUUCAAAAAAAAAGUUUUUAAA